AACUGCAGAUACAAUGGAGCUGUCUGAUAACUCCCUGCAGCAUCAGCUGAACAGAGAGGAGGCAAUGCACUCCUAUUACUUGACCAGGAAAUUUUGUCUGCCAGCAUUCAACAAUGGGUCUGUCACAGGGUGCAGUUUGGGGAAGGAGGAAUUAGACACCCCUGCCCCUUUACAUCCCCUAAAAAAGUGCAUGAGAAACACACACACGGCCGAAUUGGGACUGAACCGACUUUUG